rnacentral:rRNA from 1 species
UACGUAGGGCGCAAGCGUUGUCCGGAAUUAUUGGGCGUAAAGAGCUCGUAGGCGGCUUGUCACGUCGGAUGUGAAAGCCCGGGGCUUAACCCCGGGUCUGCAUUCGAUACGGGCUAGCUAGAGUGUGGUAGGGGAGAUCGGAAUUCCUGGUGUAGCGGUGAAAUGCGCAGAUAUCAGGAGGAACACCAGUAGCGAAGGCGGCACUCUGGGCCGGUACUGACGCUGAGGAGCGAAAGCGUGGGGAGCGAACAGG